rnacentral:rRNA from 1 species
UACGGAGGAUCCAAGCGUUAUCCGGAAUCAUUGGGUUUAAAGGGUCCGUAGGCGGUUUUAUAGGUCAGUGGUGAAAUCCGGCAGCUCAACCGUCGAACUGCCAUUGGUACUGUAGAACUUGAAUUACUGUGAAGUAACUAGAAUAUGUAGUGUAGCGGUGAAAUGCUUAGAUAUUACAUGGAAUACCAAUUGCGAAGGCAGGUUACUAACAGUAUAUUGACGCUGAUGGACGAAAGCGUGGGGAGCGAACAGG